AUGAAUUUCCUUACUUGGAACUGUCGGGGUUUGGGAUGGCCUCGACAGUUGGAGAGUUUGCGGGACCUUGUUCGGUCUCACAAUCCUGCGGUGGUGUUCCUGUGUGAAACAAAAAAGAAGGCUAGAGCGAUGGAACAGAUUCGGUGGAGCUUGGGUUUCCAGCAUGGGGUUGCGGUUGAUUGUGUUGGGCAGAGUGGUGGCUUGGCGUUGUGGUGGCGUGAUCACGUCAGUGUCACUAUACGCCCGUGGUGUCAAUACUUCAUCGAUGCCACCAUUGUUCAUGAUGGCAAGACCGUUAGAUUCACUGGAUUCUACGGUGAGCCGAGGACGGAACUUCGGAAUAAAUCUUGGGAGGCGAUUCGUUUCUUGAGAUCUCAAGAUGACCUCCCUUGGCUGUGCGCGGGUGACUUCAACGAGGCACUAUUCUAUACGGAUCAGCGGGGGGGGGGGUAA
rnacentral:rRNA from 1 species